AGCAACUAAUUAAAUCUUAACCCGACAUCGGCCGAACUUGAUCAGCUAAUAAAGUUUCCACUGUAUCCAAGGGAUCAUCGUAUACUUGAAAACUUAAAAUUCCGAGAGUAUAACAUUUAGCCAUACAAUCAAUAAUUUCAUUAUGAAUUUUUGGAAUAUGAUGAAUCUUUACUCUUCAACUCUUCUCAAAAUUUGAUGCAGCAAAUAUAACUCUACCAGACUGCUAUUGUCUCUCCCAUCAAUCGAAAAUAUGUUCAACAAUUGUUGGGAUGAAAAUAGGUUUUUAAUUAAAUAAAUUUAAUUUGGACUGCUGUAAGAACUCAAAUUUACCCGGGCCUAAAACCAUUAACCAGCCCAAACAAAAAAACAACAUAAAAACGAAAGCCCAAAUACAAAAAUUACCAGUCCAGAGUCCAAAAUACAAGUCCAAAUUUUUGCAGACCCAAAACUAAAAAAACUUAGCCCAAAGAUAACAAGCCCAUGUACCUAAACAUUUUUUACAGAAGCCUAAACCCUAAUUUUAUGUGCGCCGCACCUAUGCCCUCCUCGGCCACGUCGCCUGCACCUCGUCCCGAGGCUCGUCUGCAAGCUUGCACCGAAAUGGAAAAAGAAACCUUUCUCCCCUCCAUUGACUAAGCGCCGACCCUGCAAAAAGAAGAAAGAGAGACAGAAACAAGGAUAAUAGAAAUAGUAGCAUAAACGGAAUCAUGAACAGCACCAAUAGUGAAAUAAACAGUAGAAUAGGAAGUUUUUAUUUGGCUAUAAAAGCCAGAAAGAUCAAUGUAUUAAAAAAAAAAGGAGAAGAUUAAGCAAUCAAAAAAGCAAAAACAAAAAAGGUUGAUUUUAAAUAUCAUUUACUUGUUCUUUUUCUUUCGGAUUUCCCCUUUUUUAUUUAUUUUUCUGCUUUUUAAAUUUAUUUUUUGACAAAAAUAUAAAGGAGAGGAGAAGAGGAAGUUUACCCAAACCCCGGGGUCCCGUCCGUCUUCGAAAUCGGGCUCAAAAGGGGAGGAGAGACUUUCUUCUCUUGAUGUUUUCGGGCUAAAGAGAUGGCUUUUAAAACCGUCUACAGUGGAGGAGCGGCGGUCAUGGCGAUGGUGGCGAUGAUGGGUUAAGAAACCCUAGCAGAGAAAGAAAUGGGGAGAAGGGGGGUUGCUCUCUCUGUUUUUUGCAGAAGAAAAGGGAUGAAAUAAAAAAAAUGAAAAUUUUAGUUUAAAUAGCAGUGCACAAACGGUGCCGUUUUGCACUAGGGGUACCAGCAUUGAAACGACGCCGUUUAAGGCGACCUGCGCGCGACCCGACUAGUUCCAAGGGGGAUACGUGUGUUUCUAAAAAGGGUUAUUUACAAUCCAUGUCCCUCCACAUUUUUAUUUGUCUUUAUUUAAUCCGUUUGUUUAUUUUCCCUUUAUUUUUAAAUUUAGCCACACAAAUCUGCUCGAUUCUCAUUUCGGUCCCUGACCCGUGGACGCAAUGGGUAAUGGACACGUGUCCAGAAGCAGGAUUUUUGCCCAUCAAGUCUUCAGAUCUUGUGUUUUUU
rnacentral:lncRNA from 1 species